UAACACGUGAAUAACCUACCUCAAAGUCUGGGAUAACCAUUGGAAACAGUGACUAAUACCGGAUAAAACCCAAGUGCACAUGCACUAAGGUUAAAAGCUGCGUUUGCAGCGCUUUAAGAUGGAUUCGCGGUGCAUUAGUUAGUUGGUGAGGUAAAGGCUCACCAAGACGAUGAUGCAUAGCCGAGUUGAGAGACUGACCGGCCACAUUGGGACUGAGACACGGCCCAAACUCCUACGGGAGGCUGCAGUAGGGAAUCUUCCACAAUGGGCGCAAGCCUGAUGGAGCAACGCCGCGUGUGUGAUGAAGGCUUUCGGGUCGUAAAGCACUGUUGUAUGGGAAGAACGGGUUUAAGAGGAAAUGCUUAGACAGUGACGGUACCAUACCAGAAAGGGACGGCUAAA
rnacentral:rRNA from 1 species